GCCAGCUCAACACAAAGCUGUUUUACAGCACUGUACUGACCUCAGACAUAAAGCAAAACAAUUUCUAUUUUCUACAGGUGGCUAAUUUUUCCUUUUCUCUCACUUCCUUACUGCUAUCACCAGGACGCCUGAUUCUGAAGCAGAAGCAAAGAUUAUCUACACCACAGAAAACGAAUGUUGUCUGCUCUAAAGAGGAGAACUACUGCAUUGGCAGCUGCCUAAGAAAGGACUAUGCAUCUGAGAAUAAGGGAGUUGCAACGAUUGUGCUGACAUUUCCCCCUCUCCAGUAGUCAAAAAUUAAGCUGUUUGUCUUCUGUGAAGCAAUAGGAUUGAAAAGAUGAUUGCAGGUUUACUACAGACUCUCCAGGGGAAUAGUCCACCUCACAAAAUAUAGGGUGAAAUGAUACCGGGAGUGAUAUGUGUCAGCUGAAGCAGUGGAGUCCUGCCAAGUCAUAGACUGUAUCUCUGGAGGGAAGGUGCAUGCUAGAGCACUUCAUGCUGGGAUGCCAGAAGACUGCAGGGAAGCUUCUAUUGGUAAGGCAGUCUCAUUGAUUUCAGUGAGAAUCUGCAAUGCCAUGGUUACUCACCCAUGUGGAUCAAAGUACAGGAUCAAGACUUAGGGGACUGCAGUGUCAUGUGGACUCUAAAGCCAGGCACCAGGGGAUGCACUCCGGAACCAGCAGCAGGAAGGAGAGGAGGCAGCACACGUGUGUCCUGCACGCACGUGUGCCCUUUUUACCAACCAACUGACCGGAGGCGGCGGCGGCAGCAGCAACAGAGGAAUCGGCAGCGGGGGCAGCAGCAGCUGAUCCCCCAAAGGUAAGUGGGGCGGAGGGACCCGGCACAGCUGAGCCGGAUCCGGAGGGGAAGCCCCCCGGGUCCCAUAUAGCUGAGCCGGUAGGGAGCCGCGCUCCCGAGCCGCGCGGCGCGAACAGAGCGCGCAAACAGGGAGGGCUAGGAAGGGGACUGUCUCCCCAGGCCAGGGGGCACCCCCGGGGCUAACGCUUGGGGGAGCAGGCUCCUGUGGCAGCGGAUCCCCCCAGCGGGGGAGUGUAGGGGCAGAACUGCCGGCAGGCACUUCUGGGUAGACCGGGGCGCCUGAUUGGCCGUUGGAGCGGGGCGGGUAAUUCAAACCGCGGGCUUUAAAGCCACGGAGUGACGUAGUUCCCAGCACUCGGGAACCAGCAGCGGGAAGGAGAGGAGGCAGCACACGUGUGUCCCGCACGCACGUGUGCCCUUUUUACCAACCAACUGACCGGAGGCGGCGGCGGCAGCAGCAACAGAGGAAUCGGCAGCGGGGGCAGCAGCAGCUGAUCCCCCGAAGGCCCAGGCACCAAAGGAAGAAGCACCCCGGGGAAUACCCUCCACAGCAGAGUGGCAGACAGUCACAGCCAGGACCGGAGCAGCACGCAGCAAACCGGUACCAGCUUCUCCAGUCCGACUGGUGAACAGAUCAAGAGAUCCACGAUGACCCAGAGGAGGAGGCGACGAGUGCUCGUCAUAGGAGACUCCAUCCUGAGAGGUACGGAAGGACCCAUCUGUCACCAGGACCCCUCGGCACGAGAGUGACCGGACGAGGAAGACGGCAGGAGAACUGCAUCAGAGAGACCAACUGGCGGCUUCAGCAGUGGUGUCUCGAGGCAGGCUUCGGCUUCCUGGACAAUGACCCGCACAUCACGACGAGGGACAUGCUCAGCUGGGAUGGGCUUCACCUGUCCCCCAAAGGCUGGCAGCCUUCCAGUUUGUAAGGAGCUGCUUGGCAUGAUUGGAGGCAGGGGGCAUCACGUGCAUUUGCAUGCUCACAUACAUAGCCUGCAUACAGCCAGGCAACAUGGUUGGAGCAGCCCUGGCAGCUGGAUACAGAGCUCAAUAUGUAUAUGCCAGACAUGAGACCAACAGGUGGAUGAAACAGCAAAAUAAAGUGGGUCUGGAAGGGUGAAGUAAAAGUAACAUGAACAAAGCAGAAUUCACAGCUUGUUGUUUCCCUGAGCAAUCUCACAAGGACUAGGAAUGAUUGAGGACCAACCAUCAUGGGCCUCAUCUAACUAGAAUUCACCUUGAAUCCAGAAAAAAUUCUGAGAACCUAGUCUCAGUUCCUAUGAAGCAUGAUAUCUUUUCAUAGCAAUCCAGCUCUUGAGAAUCUUGAAACUCUUGGCAAUCAUCAAAUUCUCCAAUGUACUAAUGUCCAUCUGAGUUCUUCCUCAGGAAAUGAUCAGAAAAGACUGUAACUAAUUCUGAAGAAUAAAAGUGCAUUGCAGAGAAUUAAGUUUUGGUUUUAGAAAGUGGCACUUGAACUUGGAGAGUGACCUUAUUUCUAGAAAUUCAGUAUGUAUUUGUGAAUAGACGGUGGGAAGUAACAAAAGACUCAUGGUGGAAGAAAGUCCCGAGAAAGGAACAGGAGGAGAAUGGAGGUUCCAGAGCAGAUGCUCCAUGAUGCUUGGGCGAGCCUUGGGAGAGAGGGGCAGAGCCAGCAAGAACUGGAGGCAGGAGGAGGCAGGUGGAGCCAGCAGAAGAAAAACCUGAAUGAGAAGUGGGGAGGAAAAAAGUGGUGAAAAAAGGCUCACAGAGAGUGAUGAGGACCAGAGAGAUUUGCUGGAUGGAGGGACUCCAGCGAAAGAGGCUGGCGAGGUAAUCUUCUAGAGAAAGAAAACCAGGACCAGGGAACCCUCCUCCCAUGCCGAGGAUAUUGAGGCUGGGCGGUUGUUGUUGUGGAGGGCGUAUCUGGUAACUGGUCCAGCAAGACCUUAAUCAAUAAAAAAAAGAAAGAAAGAAAGAAGGUGAUUGAGAAGAUAAGUUUCUGCAAGUCCUAAGGAAGAGGGACCAUGCCUGGGGAAUAAAAUGAGGAAUAGAGAAAUAGAUCUCAGGGCUGGGAGGGCUGGACUGACUACAAAAGCAAUUGAUAAACAGUACUCAGUUAGGUUGAAUUUAUAUCUGAGUUGGAUCUUAUUUAAGUUGAUAUACCUAUUUAAUUGAUAUAAAGAAGUAAUGAUAAUCCUGCUGGCAGCAGGACCAUAUGUAAAUUGUAAAAAUUAAUAAAUAAAGGACAUUGUAAACUUGA